UACGGGGGGGGCAAGCGUUGUUCGGAAUUACUGGGCGUAAAGGGCUCGUAGGCGGCCAACUAAGUCAGACGUGAAAUCCCUCGGCUUAACCGGGGAACUGCGUCUGAUACUGGAUGGCUAGAGUGUGGGAGAGGGAUGCGGAAUUCCAGGUGUAGCGGUGAAAUGCGUAGAUAUCUGGAGGAACACCGGUGGCGAAGGCGGCAUCCUGGACCACGACUGACGCUGAGUGAGCGAAAGCCAGGGGAGCAAACGGG
rnacentral:rRNA from 1 species